rnacentral:rRNA from 1 species
UCGGAGUGCUUGCACUCUGUGAAACAAGAUACAGGCUAGCGGCGGACGGGUGAGUAACACGUGGGUAACCUGCCCAAGAGAUCGGGAUAACACCUGGAAACAGAUGCUAAUACCGGAUAACAACAGAUGAUGCCUAUCAACUGUUUAAAAGAUGGUUCUGCUAUCACUCUUGGAUGGACCUGCGGUGCAUUAGCUAGUUGGUAGGGUAACGGCCUACCAAGGCGAUGAUGCAUAGCCGAGUUGAGAGACUGAUCGGCCACAUUGGGACUGAGACACGGCCCAAACUCCUACGGGAGGCAGCAGUAGGGAAUCUUCCACAAUGGACGCAAGUCUGAUGGAGCAACGCCGCGUGAGUGAAGAAGGGUUUCGGCUCGUAAAGCUCUGUUGUUGGUGAAGAAGGACAGGGGUAGUAACUGACCUUUGUUUGACGGUAAUCAAUUAGAAAGUCACGGCUAACUACGUGCCAGCAGCCGCGGUAAUACGUAGGUGGCAAGCGUUGUCCGGAUUUAUUGGGCGUAAAGCGAGUGCAGGCGGUUCGAUAAGUCUGAUGUGAAAGCCUUCGGCUCAACCGGAGAAUUGCAUCAGAAACUGUCGAGCUUGAGUACAGAAGAGGAGAGUGGAACUCCAUGUGUAGCGGUGAAAUGCGUAGAUAUAUGGAAGAACACCGGUGGCGAAGGCGGCUCUCUGGUCUGUUACUGACGCUGAGGCUCGAAAGCAUGGGUAGCGAACAGGAUUAGAUACCCUGGUAGUCCAUGCC